rnacentral:ncRNA from 1 species
GCCUGCCGACACGGGAGCUCGGAGCACCGGGCUGAGAGGGCGCUGACCGGUACCUGCGUACCGAACGCUGCGCCGACCGCAGGAACCUGGACCGGGUAAUGCCGGCGUAGGGAGUAGAGGGUCCGACAUG